CCGGCGUGCGCCCAUCUCUGCUGAUUUGCCGCGUUUUUCCGCGAUUCGCUCUCUCGCAAGUCCCCUCUCGAGGCGGCAAUUCCCGUCGGUCAUUUCCUCUCUUUUGCCAUCUGGAUCUCGCGCGCGCGCGAUCGAUCGAAACUGCAAAAACGGAGACAGUCGCGACCUCGUUUUGGUGCCCUCCCGCCUCUGGACAGCCGGCGGCCACCUCCGGCUCUGCCGUUUACGCACCCCCCACGGAGUAGAGAAAUACACAAAAUAGCCGUAUCUACGCGUCCCUUCCAUCGCCUUCUAUUUACUUUCGUGUGGAGAAAACAGAGAACGCCUCUCCACGAAGCACGGCAGGCAAAAGGUGACAAGACCUCAGAACGCGGGCGACUCUUGGUGUAGGGAAAAAGUCUGGGCGACAAAAUAAUGCCGUCUCCUCGACAAUCAUCUUCACCGGGGAACCCUCAACAACGAUCCAUACAAAAACAUAUCCCUAUGUAUGAAUAAGUAGAUCUGUAGAUCGAGGUACACUUAAGUGAAAAGAGGGUAGACGCCAAGACGUCGGUUCGUGCGUGGUAGCGCCGGAGUCAUGAGUCUGUGUUCGGUCGUAUGCUUUGUGUCGACGUUUGCGAAAGAACGCAAGAUCAAGCAUUUGCGUUGUGUAUUUUUUAAACCAGCAUGUGUUCCCCGUGAAGCAUCUCGGCACGUAAGUAUGCGCGAUUGUCAAGGGAGGCUCUGUGCUAUGUUAGAAAGCCGGGAAACGCGUGUAUAAGUAUGUCGAUGUAAGGGACCGUUGUUUCCGCGUUCG
rnacentral:lncRNA from 1 species